UUCUUCUUCUUCUUCUUCUUCUCCCCCAUUCUCCUCCUCCUCCUCCUCCUCCCUAACUAUUCUGCCUAUCCCCAGACGCCCGGUGCCCCCCCCUGCCCCCGCCCCCCCACUCGACUAUCCAGGAGAACAGUAAUAGUCUGAAGGCUGGAGGAUCGUCACCUACUCCUGCGAAACUGGUUAUCUGCUGGUCGGAGAAGCGGGAAGGAACUGAGAUGAGACCAGACUCAGCAGCCCUCCAGUGAGCCCAGGAGACCACGAGGGACACCCACGCACCUCAUGGCUUGGGGCCGCAUGGAGAUGGUGGGGCAGGAGACAGAGACGAGACCACUGAGCUGAGGAGACCAGUUAGGCCUUCCAGAUGCUGCCUAAAUGCUGGGGCAGACCAGCUGAGACCAGCUGAGACGAGUCCUGUUGGGGAGAAGAUGGAGGGAGAUUAAUUGAGCCAAGGAAGGAGAGAGAGAAAGAGAGAGAGAGAGAGAGAGAGAGAGAGAACUCUGUAUUCCUAUAAAAGAGAAGAUAAUAAAGUUUGGAAAUAUAUAUUACAAUGGAUGUAUUUAAACCUAUUACUCUCUCUCUCUCUCCACCAGUGAGCUAUUGUAU